rnacentral:miRNA from 1 species
UGUGUUUGGUGUAAUCGGUCUAGUUCAUAAUUUAAAUAUCAUUAACUCGGAUGGCGACCACAAAAGCCGAGGCAAGAAUUAGCCCGUAGGGCUCGAUAUUUUUACACCAAAAAUUACGAAAGGCU